rnacentral:rRNA from 1 species
UACGUAGGGCGCAAGCGUUAUCCGGAAUUAUUGGGCGUAAAGAGCUCGUAGGCGGUUUUGUUGCGUCGGCUGUGAAAUCCCGAGGCUCAACCUCGGGUCUGCAGUCGAUACGAGCAAACUAGAGUGUUGCAGGGGGAGACUGGAAUUCCUGGUGUAGCGGUGAAAUGCGCAGAUAUCAGGAGGAACACCGGUGGCGAAGGCGGGUCUCUGGGCAACAACUGACGCUGAGGAGCGAAAGCGUGGGGAGCGAACAGG